CAUGUACGGUGGAUGGUCCGACUAGCAGUGGCCGCACGGGCCAAGAAUCGAUCUUUUCCCUAUACUUUUUAGUAACCUGGGAGCGGCGGAGAGAGAGAGAGAGGUGCCUUGAUUGCAGAGAAAAGAAGCCAUGGAAUGAGAGAGAGAGAGAGAGAUUGAAAUGGGAGGUAUCCUAUCACAGCAAGGAGUUGGUGCGGUGAGCCGCUGCUGUUGCUUGGGAUUGACGUCAUCCUCGACAUCCACAUCAACACGUUCGAGGAGAACAUGAUCCGACCCCUUCAAACCCUCUCGGAUCUCAACAGCAGAUCCAAAUCCCCAACAACAACAGCAGCAGCAGCAGCAACAACAACAACAGCCUCAACAGCAGCAGCAGCAACAACAACACCACCAACAACACGAACACCACCACCACCACCAACAACAACAACAACAACGAACUCCUUUCUCCCGACUUGGAAUGGAUGCAGCUGCUUCUCGCCCUGCCGUAGUCAUCGACAACGGAACCGGGUAUACCAAGAUGGGAUUUGCUGGCAAUGUUGAGCCAUGCUUCAUUAUACCAACUGUUGUGGCCGUCAAUGAGUCCUUUUUGAAUCAGUCAAGGGGUUCUGCAAAGGGAAAUUGGCUAGCACAGCAUAGUGCGGGUGUCAUGGCUGAUCUCGAUUUCUUCAUAGGAGACGAGGCUCUGUCACGGUCUCGCUCAAGCAGUACAUAUAAUCUCAGCUACCCUAUUCAUCAUGGUCAGGUGGAGAAUUGGGAUACAAUGGAGAGAUUCUGGCAGCAGUGCAUAUUCAAUUACUUGCGUUGUGACCCUGAGGACCACUACUUCCUUCUGACUGAGAGUCCUCUCACUGCUCCUGAAAAUCGGGAAUACACAGGAGAAAUUAUGUUUGAGACAUUUAAUGUUCCAGGACUCUAUAUAGCAGUACAACCUGUCCUUGCCCUUGCUGCUGGGUACACAACUUCCAAGUGUGAAAUGACAGGGGUUGUAGUUGAUGUUGGAGACGGGGCUACUCAUGUUGUACCUGUUGCAGAUGGUUAUGUUAUUGGGAGCAGCAUCAAGUCCAUUCCUAUUGCUGGGAAGGAUGUUACUCUCUUUAUUCAACAACUCUUGCGGGAAAGAGGAGAGCAUAUACCACCAGAAGACUCUUUUGAUGUUGCUCGAAAGGUGAAAGAAAUGUAUUGCUACACUUGUUCAGACAUUGUCAAGGAGUAUGGAAAGCACGACCGAGAACCAUCUAAGUACAUCAAGCAAUGGAGUGGGGUUAAACCGAAGACUGGAGCACCAUACUCUUGUGAUAUCGGCUAUGAACGAUUUCUUGGCCCUGAGGUUUUCUUUAAUCCUGAGAUCUACAGCAGCGAUUUUACCACCCCUUUACCUGCUGUAAUUGACAAGUGUAUUCAGUCAGCACCAAUAGACACAAGGAGGGCUCUUUAUAAGAAUAUAGUAUUAUCUGGAGGGUCGACGAUGUUCAAGGACUUCCAUAGAAGGUUGCAGCGGGAUCUAAAGAAGAUAGUAGAUGUACGGAUAGUUGCAUCUGAUGCCCGGCAUGGUGGAGAAGUAAAAUCACAGCCUGUGGAAGUCAAUGUAGUAAGCCAUCCUAUUCAGAGUUUUGCCGUUUGGUUUGGAGGCUCUGUACUUGCAUCAACACCUGAAUUCUAUGCGGAGUGGAUACUACUAGUCAAUGGAAGGAUUAUGUCAAUUUGGGUGCAUGGCUAAGCAUGGAUCGAGGUGGGACUUCCUACUUUGGACAAGCUACAUCGGAUUACUAAGAUCUCAUGACAUAAAUCAAAGGCUUGCCAUACAAAAGCAGAGUAUGAGGAAUAUGGUGCGAGCAUCUGCCGUACAAAUCCUGUCUUCAAAGGGAUGUACUGAGUUCGUAAUUGAUUUCUCUUUGCAGCGGUUUUCAUUUGUAACUCCCACUGUACACUGGCAACGGUCUCUUCCCUACCGUCGGACAUUGUUCUGAUGCAUUUUUCAGUGUCAUCUGGAUGUUCCCAUGUAAGGGAAACGAUCCCCCUUGAGAGUUGUAUUAUAGAUGUUAACCAAUGGAUUUGAUGCUGUUAUUAGCGAAGUUUUUUCUUUCUUUCUUUCUUUCUUUUUUUUUUUUUAGGGGGGUUGGUUUGUUUGAAGGAAAUGUCUUGUAGCAGCAGCUCCAUGUAUACGCCGAGCAGUGACUUAGUGAAGCAGGGACUAAGCUGAAUGGUCUUUUAGCAUUUAGCUUAGUACGAGUUUAAUUAAACAUUUUAUUUAUUUA